GAUGAAGAACGUAGUGAAAUGCGAUACUUGGUGUGAAUUGCAGAAUCCCGUGAACCAUCGAGUCUUUGAACGCAAGUUGCGCCCGAAGCCAUUAGGCCGAGGGCACGCCUGCCUGGGUGUCACACAUCGUUACCCUCGCGCCAACGCCCAGUGUUGGGCACGGCGCAGGGCGUAUGCUGACCUCCCGCGAGCGGGGUCUCGUGGUUGGUUGAAAAUCGAGUUCGCGGUCGAGUGUGCCGUGAUGAAAUGGUGGAUGGGCGACGCCCGAGGCCAAUCCAAUCACGCGCGACUCUGUCCGGCUUGGACUCCUGGACCCCUUGGGCGUCUCCGGACGCUCCCCAGCGAGACCUCAGGUCAGGCGGGGCUACCCGCUGAGUUUAAGCAUAUCAAUAAGCGGAGGA
rnacentral:misc_RNA from 1 species